rnacentral:rRNA from 1 species
UGGGGAAUAUUGCACAAUGGGCGCAAGCCUGAUGCAGCGACGCCGCGUGAGCGAAGAAGUAUUUCGGUAUGUAAAGCUCUAUCAGCAGGGAAGAAAAUGACGGUACCUGACUAAGAAGCUACGGCUAAAUACGUGCCAGCAGCCGCGGUAAUACGUAUGGAGCAAGCGUUAUCCGGAAUUACUGGGUGUAAAGGGAGCGUAGACGGAUUUGCAAGUCUGAUGUGAAAGGCGGGGGCUCAACUCCUGGACUGCAUUGGAAACUGUAGAUCUUGAGUGCCGGAGAGGUAAGCGGAAUUCCUAGUGUAGCGGUGAAAUGCGUAGAUAUUAGGAGGAACACCAGUGGCGAAGGCGGCUUACUGGACGGUAACUGACGUUGAGGCUCGAAAGCGUGGGGAGCAAACAGG